CCUACGGGAGGCAGCAGUGAGGAAUAUUGGUCAAUGGACGCAAGUCUGAACCAGCCAUGCCGCGUGCAGGAAGACGGCUCUAUGAGUUGUAAACUGCUUUUGUACGGGGGUAAACGCAGAUACGCGUAUCUGUCUGCAAGUAUCGUACGAAUAAGGAACGGCUAACUCCGUGCCAGCAGCCGCGGUAAUACGGAGGAUUCAAGCGUUAUCCGGAUUUAUUGGGUUUAAAGGGUGCGUAGGCGGUCGGAUAAGUUAGAGGUGAAAUCCCGAGGCUCAACUUCGGAAUUGACCCUGAUACUGUUCGGCUAGAGAGUAGUUGCGGUAGGCGGAAUGUAUGGUGUAGCGGUGAAAUGCUUAGAGAUCAUACAGAACACCGAUUGCGAAGGCAGCUUACCAAGUUACUUCUGACGUUGAGGCACGAAAGCGUGGGGAGCAAACAGGAUUAGAUACCCCGGUAGUC
rnacentral:rRNA from 1 species